rnacentral:rRNA from 1 species
GCAGCAGCUAAGAAUCUUCCACAAUGGACGAAAGUCUGAUGGAGCGACGCCGCGUGAAUGAUGAAGGCCGUGAGGUUGUAAAGUUCUUUUCGGGAGGAGGAAUGAAGUUAUCAGGGAAUGGAUGACAGAUGACGAGAAUCCCGGAAUAAGCCCCGGCUAACUACGUGCCAGCAGCCGCGGUAACACGUAGGGGGCGAGCGUUGUUCGGAAUCAUUGGGCGUAAAGGGUGCGCAGGCGGCUUAGCAAGUCUGGUGUGAAAUGGUUGUGCUCAACACAAUCAGGCGCCGGAAACUGAGAAGCUAGAGUCAACGAGGGGAUGCCGGAAUUCCAGGUGUAGGGGUGAAAUCUGUAGAUAUCUGGAAGAACACCAAUGGCGAAGGCAGGCAUCUGGCGAUUGACUGACGCUGAGGCACGAAGGUGCGGGGAGCAAACAGGUUUAGAUACCCUGGUAGUCCGCACAGUAAACGAUGUGCACCAGGUGUCGGGCAGCAGUGUUCGGUACCGAAGCAAACGCAAUAAGUGCACCGCCUGGGGAGUAUGCCCGCAAGGGUGAAACUCAAAGGAAUUGACGG